AUGCCGGAUAACAUGUUGAACCGCAUGGUUCUACAGUGAAAGACGGUCUUGCUGUCACUUAUAGAUGGACCCGCGCCGUAUUAGCUAGUUGGUGGGGUAACGGCCUACCAAGGCGACGAUACGUAGCCGACCUGAGAGGGUGAUCGGCCACACUGGAACUGAGACACGGUCCAGACUCCUACGGGAGGCAGCAGUAGGGAAUCUUCCGCAAUGGGCGAAAGCCUGACGGAGCAACGCCGCGUGAGUGAUGAAGGUCUUCGGAUCGUAAAGCUCUGUUGUUAGGGAAGAACAAAUGUGUAAGUAACUGUGCACAUCUUGACGGUACCUAACCAGAAAGCCACGGCUAACUACGUGCCAGCAGCCGCGGUAAUACGUAGGUGGCAAGCGUUAUCCGGAAUUAUUGGGCGUAAAGCGCGCGUAGGCGGUUUUUUAAGUCUGAUGUGAAAGCCCACGGCUCAACCGUGGAGGGUCAUUGGAAACUGGAAAACUUGAGUGCAGAAGAGGAAAGUGGAAUUCCAUGUGUAGCGGUGAAAUGCGCAGAGAUAUGGAGGAACACCAGUGGCGAAGGCGGCUUUCUGGUCUGCAACUGACGCUGAUGUGCGAAAGCGUGGGGAUCAAACAGGAUUAGAUACCCUGGUAGUCCACGCCGUAAACGAUGAGUGCUAAGUGUUAGGGGGUUUCCGCCCCUUAGUGCUGCAGCUAACGCAUUAAGCACUCCGCCUGGGGAGUACGGUCGCAAGACUGAAACUCAAAGGAAUUGACGGGGACCCGCACAAGCGGUGGAGCAUGUGGUUUAAUUCGAAGCAACGCGAAGAACCUUACCAAAUCUUGACAUCCUUUGACCGCUCUAGAGAUAGAGUUUUCCUCUUCGGAGGACAAAGUGACAGGUGGUGCAUGGUUGUCGUCAGCUCGUGUCGUGAGAUGUUGGGUUAAGUCCCGCAACGAGCGCAACCCUUGAACUUAGUUGCCAUCAUUCAGUUGGGCACUCUAAGUUGACUGCCGGUGACAAACCGGAGGAAGGUGGGGAUGACGUCAAAUCAUCAUGCCCCUUAUGAUUUGGGCUACACACGUGCUACAAUGGACAAUACAAAGGGCAGCGAAACCGCGAGGUCAAGCAAAUCCCAUAAAGUUGUUCUCAGUUCGGAUUGUAGUCUGCAACUCGACUACAUGAAGCUGGAAUCGCUAGUAAUCGUAGAUCAGCAUGCUACGGUGAAUACGUUCCCGGGUCUUGUACACACCGCCCGUCACACCACGAGAGUUUGUAACACCCGAAGCCGGUGGAGUAACCAUUUUGGAGCUAGCCGUCGAAGGUGGGACAAAUGAUUGGGGUGAAGUCGUAACAAGGUAGCCGUAUCGGAAGGUGCGGCUGGAUCACCUCCUUUCUA
rnacentral:rRNA from 1 species